rnacentral:rRNA from 1 species
UACGUAGGGUGCGAGCGUUAAUCGGAAUUACUGGGCGUAAAGCGUGCGCAGGCGGCUUUGCAAGACAGAUGUGAAAUCCCCGGGCUCAACCUGGGAACUGCAUUUGUGACUGCAAGGCUAGAGUACGGCAGAGGGGGAUGGAAUUCCGCGUGUAGCAGUGAAAUGCGUAGAUAUGCGGAGGAACACCGAUGGCGAAGGCAAUCCCCUGGGCCUGUACUGACGCUCAUGCACGAAAGCUAGGGGAGCGAACGGG